rnacentral:rRNA from 1 species
UACGUAGGGACCAAGCGUUGUUCGGAUUUACUGGGCGUAAAGGGCGCGUAGGCGGCUUAACAAGUCACUUGUGAAAUCUCCGGGCUUAACUCGGAACGGCCAAGUGAAACUGUCAAGCUAGAGUGCAGAAGGGGCAAUCGGAAUUCUUGGUGUAGCGGUGAAAUGCGUAGAUAUCAGGAGGAACACCGAUGGCGAAGGCAGGUCUCCGGGCAGUUACUGACGCUGAGGAGCGAAAGCAUGGGGAGCGAACAGG